AGAAACCGCUGGGCAGUCUCCUGGGCACAGAGCUCAACACUUUAUUUGCUCCCUGUCAUUCAAUGCUAAUAAUACCAAUAUUCAGUGAAAAAUACUGGAGCUUAAAGGUCAGAUCACUUGUCCAGAGUCACAGAACAGAAGCCCAAGUAAUCUGGUAUAACAGCCAGGCUUUUUUUCUACUACAACAUUCUUCAUCCUGUAUGACAUUUUGAAAUCUGGAAUUAGAAGAGUGGAGUUCAUGUGUCGCCUGAAAUGAUCCUCAUGCCAUAAAGGUGACUGAAGCUCAAAAAUAAAGGACCUAAGUGGUUUAAAAAAUGUCAUAUGGCAUGUCAGAGCAUCUGUCCUGGUCAGCUGGUAGUGGUUGCCUGGAGGAUUGUGUUGGGAUAGGACUAUGAAGUCCAAUCUGAGUCUCAUGGGAUGAAAGUCAUGUUGUGAUUGAUUGAAGAUGUCUGCUUAGUAUGCUACAAUGGAACCAUACCAAGGGAGUAUUUAAUGUUUGCAAAUUCACAUUUUUGUGCUCUGCUAAGGAACAGAUUGGUGGAUAGGAAGGAUCUGAGAAACAGAAAUCAAGAUUGUGUGAAUGGCAGCUUGGAAAUGAAAAAGAGAACAAAUGAAUGAGCAAUUAAAAUAUUGCAGACUCUUCCGAUUGCCAUUUCAUGCAAUGAAUACAUGCCUCUAAGUGAGUGUGAGAACCUUGAUAGAAUUUCCUGUUCUCUCAGUCAGGAGCAUAUCUCCAUACAGAGUAUGAUUCUAGGCUUUAAAGCUACUUUUCUUUUCUUUCUUUCUUUCUUUUUUUCCAAUGCAACAUGUCCCAGAAGCAAGCUACCUACAUUAGUUUGCAGUGUUCAAUUAGGGUGGGGGAAACACAGUAUGUUUCAAUAGGGGAGGCAAAUUUGGCAAUAUUGAAUGUUUUAAAACAUGUUUAUUAGGUUUUCAUAUGCAGUUUUCCUCAAGGCAAUUUUGACUUGAUGCACUUUCAUCUAUAUUAUGUACUUACAAACCACCCCCUUGAAAGGUGUAUCUCUACGGUACAUCAUAAAUGUGAUAUCCUCUAACAAGCCCAAGGUAACAUCAGGCAUUAAAUACUCAACGUUAACUUUAAUUAGUACCCUCACCUGCAAGAGUGCAAGUGAUUGAAGAUUGCAGCAAAUGCUUAUCCCAUUCCUUUAAGUCCCCAGAAUGACUGUCUAGACCAAUGUCCUUACUCAUUCCUUAUUCUUCUGAGGCUUUGCUAACUGGAGUACAGGAGCAGUCAGCAGGCCCAGAGGUAUGUUUUACCUUUCUGAUAACUUUAUUGGAUGAUCAAACCACUGGUUUACCUUGGCCAUUUGAAUGUCUGUACUAAGUGCUCACUCUGCUAGCCACCCUACAGAAAGAAAGGGAUCAGGCCAAUAGGAGUUCAAACAAUGACCCAUAACUCUAGCAUUAUAAGCUCAGGCCCUAAACUAGGGUCAUUCUCAGUCUAGGUCUAGUUGUCAGCUCAUAACUAUACUAGUCACAACUUAUGCGUUCAUGUGUUAUACCUGCCUGUUUUUGCUUCUAAGGGGAUUUUGUUAUCAAACAAAGAUGGAACAUGGACACAGGCAGAUAAGAAUUCUAAAUAUAAUCCCUUUCUUGCCUUCAGAAAUUUCUGUAAAGCCUUUGAAGAAUGCAAAAGUGGCUUAUUUUGAGUAAAAACUGGAAUAUUAAUCAGGAAUUAGAUACCUGGCUUGUAUUUCAGAUUCUGCCUUGGAUUGCUGGUCAUAUUCAACACCUUCUUUAUCUGCGGCAUAAAGAGACUACUGUGUCUGUCUUUUUUGGCACAAAAGUGAUGAAGAUAAAUGAUAUAUUGUGCUUCAGUAUAAUUCCUUUGUUAAUUAUAAUAUUAUAUAAACAUUGUGAUAAUAAACAUUUUGCUCUACCAUAAUUAUUAUCUGUGGGUUUAUGACAGAUAAGCUUAUUUUCCUCAAUUCGUUUUAAUUUAACAGCAGACACCCCUUUCUUCUUAAAGCCUAUAACUAUCUGCUAAGCACAUCCUUUCAAAUUAUUGGUUGGGUAAGAAAGAAAAUUCAGUGCUCUUGCUGUAUAUUAACUUGAUAAUAUGGCACAAAUAAUCUUUGUGUUAUAAAUAGUUCCCUUUUAUACCAGAUGCAACUAGAAAGUCAAAGAAAAUAAUGUUGUAGAUGAAGAGAGGCAUUAUUUCUAUUUUCUGGAAUGAGCACAGUGCUGCCAGUGUUCAACAUUUUUUUCCCCUUUCAUGACUUCCACUGACACUGACUCAUUGUGCAGCCUUGGUGAUUUUCCGUAAGAGGCUUGCCAACAAUUGAAGGACCAUAUUUUUCUGGGGGCAAAGAGAAAUGAUGGCUGUUUUUUACAACCUGAAAAUUCAAUAAUUUCUAAAUUUGUUUUUCAGAAAGUUAAUGCUGUAGAACGAAG
rnacentral:lncRNA from 1 species